GACGAACGCUGGCGGCGUGCCUAAUACAUGCAAGUAGAACGCAGUUGCGAACGGGUGAGUAACGUGUAGGUAGCUGCCCCAUAGUGGGGGCUAAACAUUGGAUAGGAUAGGUAAUACCGCACACAGUGAGAUGGACCUGCGUUGUAUUAGCUAGUUGGUGAGGUAAAGGCGCACCAAGGCGACGAUACAUAGCCGACCUGAGAGGGUGAACGGGCAGACCGGGACCUAGACGAGGGCCAGACGCCUACGGGAGGCAGCAGUAGGGGAAGUUCGGCAAUGGGCGGAAGUCUGACCGAGCAACGGCGCCUAAGUGGAGAAGGUGGUCAGAUCGUUAAGCUCGGUUGUUAGAUGAGCGGUAACUAGCCAAAAAGGGACGGCUAACUACGUGCCAGCAGCCGCGGUAAUUC
rnacentral:rRNA from 1 species